GGGGGCUGAGGCGACCAGGGGCCUCCUCGGCUGCGGGGCCCGGCAGCUGCCCCUCGGGUGGCUCCUGCGUCCCCACCGCAGCCUUGUGCGCCUCCUGCUCGGAGUCAUCGUCGGUGCUGCUGCCCAGGCCCCGCGCCUCCCGCCGCUUCUUCCGUUUGCGGUUGACCGCAGAGAUGAAGGAGAUCGCCAGCAUCUCCCGGGCGUAAGGCUCUUUCUUGGGGACCCAGGAACCCUGUGCAAGGAGACAGCGAGGAUAAGGAAGCUUCAAUUCAGAAAGAGUCACCCAACAUCAUAAAAUAAGUAGUAAAGUCAGGACUUCUGCCACGAGAGCUGUUCUCAAGUCACGCUGCUCCUCAGCUACCGCAACCCGAGACCACCAGCCUCUUCUACAUCAGAUGCCUUCCACGCACCACCAGGGUCAGCUUCUCUCCGCUCCCCAUCCCUGCCCCUAGACACUCAGUAUUUCCCAACUUCCAUCCCACCCUCAACCCAAAAGCCCCCAGUCCAACUUCCGUCCUCUUGACCACAAACUACAGUGGGCUGCCUUGUCCAGGCAAACCACAUUUGGGAAGCCAUGGUACUAACCUUGGACUUGGCUGAGCUACAGGUGGUGGAAUCUGCUGGCAAAAGAAAGAAAACUGAAGUUAGACCAAGAAAGAUCAAAGGUUCAAGGGUGAAGGCCUUUGUUCUCCCCAGACCCUAGGAGGGCCACUGGCUCGGCUGGCAUUUCCUAUGGGUUGUCCCCAUCAGAAGAUGUUGUUAGCCACCACUUCUUUUAGAGGCAGGAAGUGACAUCAGGCUGCGGGCCACUGAGUCUUCACUUGCCCAGGGUUAAGGACAAAGGGGGCUUUUUCUCUACAUCUGGCUCCUCCUCUCCCAACCCCCCUGCCCCCAUGACACUGAAGCACUGGAGAGAAAAUGCCAGUUUCGGAUGCAGUCCACAGAAACCACAAUGGGGCGACACAGCACAUCACAGAUACUCUGAAGAGAUGGAGACGACACAGUGCAGGAGGAGGUGUGUGCCCCACUCCCACCCCACGAGAAGGAAAAGGGCCCCACUAAGUUAUCAGGGGUCUGCAAGCAGAGGGAGGCGUCAGUCUCCCAGAUCGUUAGCCCCCCCAGGCCUCUCAAGAAGUGGCAGCUUGAUGACAGGGCUCAUGUCCUCCAUGAGUGGGGCUCUCUCAGUGGGGAUGCCCUGAGAAUAGGCCUGACAGAUCUCCCACAGGCAGAAGCUGGAAGGCUCCCUCAGCUAAGAACAUGGGCUUUGCUUCUCCCAUCAGACUGGACUAUCCUACAUGCUAAAUACUGGGUUUCUCGGAGUUUGACCUGUAUCACCCCCAUCAGACUGCUGUGUCUCCUCCGUCAGACUGUAAGUGCCUUGGGCCCAGAAUCUUCCCUUGGUUAAAUUUUUUUUUUUAAGAUUUC
rnacentral:lncRNA from 1 species